UCCCUGGUGACCCAGUGGCUAAGACUCUGCACUUCUAAUGCAGGGGGCCUGGGUUCAAUUCCUCGUCAGGGAA
rnacentral:tRNA from 1 species